rnacentral:rRNA from 1 species
UACGUAGGGUGCAAGCGUUGUCCGGAAUUAUUGGGCGUAAAGAGCUCGUAGGCGGUUUGUCGCGUCUGCUGUGAAAACCCGAGGCUCAACCUCGGGCCUGCAGUGGGUACGGGCAAACUAGAGUGCGGUAGGGGAGAAUGGAAUUCCUGGUGUAGCGGUGGAAUGCGCAGAUAUCAGGAGGAACACCAAUGGCGAAGGCAGCACUCUGGGACGUGACUGACGCUGAGACGCGACAGCGUGGGGAGCAAACAGG